rnacentral:snoRNA from 1 species
UAGCUCAGCAGCCCCUCUUGAUGAUUCCUCUUCCUGAGUGGCUCUAGUGAUGAGCAGACUGAGCCUCUAAGAAGUUGACUGAAGGGGCUGGAGAGAU